CUCCUGUGUAACCUUGUGCUCCAAGAUCUGGGAAUCUCCUUCUUUUGGCUCUGUGAAGCCUGACCAGUUUUAUUGAUUGCAUCGAAGCUCACCUGAUGAAGACUGAAGCCUGUUUGAUCUGUGGUGGGAGACAACUUGUAGCUGCAAUGACACCAAAAGCAUUGUGUCAUCUGGUGAACUAUUUCAUAACUGCAUCCAGCUAUGGUCUGCUGUCUAUUACUUGAGGACCCUGCCAUAGGAGACCAGCAUUGUCAAGCUGAGCACAGGAAAAUGGGUUUACAAGGUGAAGAGGGAAACCCACRAAGUGCUUAAACUCAUUUCUACUCCUUAAACCCUCACUUGCC